GACAGCAGUCGCCGCGGUAAUACGGAGGGGGCUAGCGUUGUUCGGAAUUACUGGGCGUAAAGCGCACGUAGGCGGCUUGGUAAGUUAGGGGUGAAAGCCUGGAGCUCAACUCCAGAAUUGCCUUUAAGACUGCCGAGCUAUCAGGUGAGAGAGGUAAGUGGAAUUCCGAGUGUAGAGGUGAAAUUCGUAGAUAUUCGGAAGAACACCAGUGGCGAAGGCGGCUUACUGGCUCAUACUGGACGCUGAGGUGCGAAAGCGUGGGGAGCAAACAGGAUUAGAUACCCCAGUAGCCCUGUCUCUUAUACA
rnacentral:rRNA from 1 species